GACGAACGCUGGCGGUGUGCUUAACACAUGCCAGUCGAACGGUAAGGCCCUUUCGGGGGUCCACGAGUGGCGAACGGGUGAGUAACACGUGAGUAACCUGCCCUCAUCUCUGGGAUAACAGUCGGAAACGGUUGCUAAUACUGGAUAUGAGCUUGCAAGGCAUCUUGUGGGUUGGAAAGAUUUUUUUGGUUGGGGAUGGACUCGCGGCCUAUCAGCUUGUUGGUGAGGUAGUGGCUCACCAAGGCUUCGACGGGUAGCCGGCCUGAGAGGGCGACCGGCCACAUUGGGACUGAGAUACGGCCCAAACUCCUACGGGAGGCAGCAGUGGGGAAUAUUGCACAAUGGACGGAAGUCUGAUGCAGCAACGCCGCGUGCGGGAUGACGGCCUUCGGGUUGGAAACCGCUUUCAAUUGUGACGAAGCUUUUUGUGACGGUAGCAGUAGAAGAAGCACCGGCUAACUACGUG
rnacentral:rRNA from 1 species